rnacentral:rRNA from 1 species
CGCACGGGUGAGUAACACGUAUCCAACCUGCCGUCUACUCUUGGACAGCCUUCUGAAAGGAAGAUUAAUACAAGAUGGCAUCAUGAGUCCACAUGUUCACAUGAUUAAAGGUAUUCCGGUAGACGAUGGGGAUGCGUUCCGUUAGAUAGUAGGCGGGGUAACGGCCCACCUAGUCUUCGAUGGAUAGGGGUUCUGAGAGGAAGGUCCCCCACAUUGGAACUGAGACACGGUCCAA